UACGGAGGGUGCGAGCGUUAUCCGGAAUUACUGGGUUUAAAGGGUGCGUAGGCGGCUUUGUAAGUCAGGAGUGAAAGUUUGCAGCUCAACUGUAAAAUUGCUUCUGAUACUGCAGAGCUGGAAUCAGGAUGAGGUCAGCGGAAUGUGGCAUGUAGCGGUGAAAUGCAUAGAUAUGCCAUAGAGCACCAAUUGCGAAGGCAGCUGGCUAGACCUGUAUUGACGCUGAGGCACGAAAGCGUGGGGAGCGAACAGG
rnacentral:rRNA from 1 species